AUUGCACUUAGGUGCUGGGUAAUGCAAAGUUGUCACCAGGCCAUCAGCUACUGUAGAGUGAUGGUGCACUAGCUCUGCUAGUGUGCUGAAACGGCUCUCUGCUGUCACAUAAACCUGUUGAGAAAGGUCCAGGAAUCUACUUAGUUGAAGGCAGCUGAGAACUUUCAGUAACACUGGAAAACAGGACUAGAAACCAGAUUUCUUGUAGCCGCACCUAAGUCCAGUUUCUACAUCUCUCAGCACAAAAUACUGCCAUUUGAUCAGGGUUAAAACUGCUGACUCACCAAAGCUCUGCUUGUUCUAAGAAGACCAGUGGAAAGCAUUGUCCAGAAAUCCUUACCUUUCCAUCUGAGGUGGUAUUGAUCCUGUAGUGGUAAACACGUCCCUCGUACCUGAGCGAGAUGGAUAGCUGCCCGGGGCUGCUCUCGCUUUCACGAACCAGGAAGCUGCCGUUGAUGAGACUGCUCAGCAGAUACUC